CCACCCGGUAGACCCGACUCCUUCUUCCCUUUCCCUUCUUCCUCCGCGGCCAGGUCAAUCAAACGCUACCCCCUCAUUCCCAACCUCCAGAUCCACCACCAGCCGCCGCCGGCCAACCCAUUGCAUCCCGACCCACGCGCCCCGGCCAGCCAGGAUGUUGACGGAACAACCAUUUUUUCCACGUGAGAAGCUUGUUAAGCAGCAGCAGUAUUUCCAGAAGUUGGGCCAGCACACCCACCUUAAAGGGCGUUACGAUGUGAUCACCUCUGUCGCCAUCCCCCUUGCACUUGCUGGCUCCAGCUUGUUCAUGAUUGGCCGUGGGAUUUACAACAUGUCUCAUGGAAUUGGGAAAAAGGAGUGAAAAUUAUGCGGGCUUGCUAGUAUAGCUCAGUGCGCGGUGCAUGGGAACGAUACUGUCCAAGCUAUGAUGUCUUCUUUGUUUGCAAAUAAUAUUGUCAAAGAAUGAUGAGUACAUUUCCGGUUCCUUUUUGUUGGUGUCUGUGUAAGUCUUUUGUCAGCAGGUUUAUGCUACUGCAAUGGUGACACUGUAACAUCGGCAUCAAUACCUUUUCUCUAAAUUGCAUGAUUUCUGCUCCUAAGUUUACUUCCAAUCCUUGCUGUCAUCAUAGACGCUUUCUUGAGUUAUUGGUGUGCCUAUUCAUGACAUUAA